CCCCCUCUCUUUGUCUCUACAGUGAGUGAGGUGAUGAAUGUGUGUGUCUGUCUCAGUUCCUAUUAAUAGUAUGGAGCAAGGCUGGAAGUGUCAAAGCUAGAGAGAGUUGAAAUCUCUCACUCUCCCUCUCAUCCCUUCUCACACAAACACACACACACAGAGUCGAAGCAGACACUACUGGAGAGCCCAGAUGUAGCAGAGGUGCUGUAUAGGUGGGGGGUGGGGGAGCAGAAAGCAGAGGAAAAUAGGGGUAGAGGUCGAAGACAAAGCCAGCAGCAGAGCUUCAAACAGCACACUGACGGAUUUACUACCCAUACGAUAAAGCAAACAACCCACAGAGCGUCGCAGCACGGUGGAGUGAAAGACUGGACUUGCAAGCUGGCGACCGGCUGUCCCAGUGGAGGAAACAAAAGGUGUGGCGUCUACUUCAGAUUCAACACACCUCUUAAGAUCACAGUCUAUGCAAGUGAGGGUGAAGUGGCUGGGCUAAUCCAUAGCGGGGCUUCUUGUGGAGUUCAUGUUUGGUGCACUUUCACAUAUGUGUGAACAUGCAUUAUGUGUAGCUGUCACUUCGAAGCUAUUACGUAAGAGUAUCCUUCGUGCACGUACAUGUGUACCCUUGCUUCAUUCACAGAUUAAAUUAAUUCUGUGGGAAACGCUGCUUUUAGUGCAGGACCUUUCUGAUUAAACUAAACCGAAGAUGAGUUACAAAGUAUUUUUUAAAUCUCAACUGUCUCAAAACUCUCAAG